ensembl:lncRNA
CACCAAAUUCCAUGUCCAACAAGUUCAAAGUUUCACUUCCACCCCACCCAGCAAUUCCUAUCCUUUGAUUAAUAAUGUUACACCAAAAGCCAAAUGCACGCAUGAGAAGCCAGUUUUUCAGAAAGCAGUUUUCAUUCAUUUCCCAAGACGUUUGACCAUAGUGAGGUGCCCCGCAUGAGGGGUGUUUUAUGAGUGUCCCCAAAUCUCCUCGGAACCGGCGAGGAUGCAACGGGGGCCAGGCUGGCUGGCAGGGUCCCCGACUCAGCUUCUCGCUCCCCCCGCGGCUUGCUCGGGCCUUGAGCGGCCGAGGGAAGGCGCGCCGGCCCCUCAGCUAGGUCCGGCUGCCGCGGGCUGGAGAGGGAAAGGGCGGUCACCGAGGUCCCCUCCCCGGGACAGCUGCCUCGGCCCGGCGCACGCCCGUGGCGCCCGCAACAGGUCGGUUGGUGGGAAACUCACAGCAGUGGAGACGCCUCCGCGCACAACCGCUGGGUUCCUGUCUCGGUCACAGGCGGGGAGGCGAUGAAGCCGGCGUCUCAGUCCCGGGAGAAAGGAGCGCUCAUGGGUCGCCAGGCAGAGAAGGGCUCGCUCCCGGUGCAGGGGCUGGCCUCGGCCUCGCGGUGCCCGGUGGCGGGGCCCGCUGCACGUCUCCCGGAGGACGGGGAGCCCGCGGCCGGAGGAGCCACAGAAGGAGGCGGGCGGUGCGCGCUCGGGGGUGGGAGCUCUAGCGCCGUGAGCGCCGGCGGCCGCCUGGCGUCUGCACCCGGGUUCCGCCGCGCCACUUCCUCGCCGGCUGCCGAGCGCUCUGCGCCCAGCCCCUCGCGCCGGGCUAUAAGCUGUGCGGCCGGGAGGGGAGGAGGCGCUUGCAAAGAGCGGCCACGGGGAGGACAGAGAGCGGGAGGGGGCCGGGAGAGGAGCGGGAAGUGCGAGUGUGCAGGGACCGGGAGAGGAAGCGGGGAGGGGCUGGAACGCAGAGACAAAGCGGACGCCAGUCUCAGCCACUCCAGCUGCAGCCCUCCAGGACCGCGGAUAAAAUAAAUUUUCCCGGGUCGAGGUGUCUCGUCUCCCUGCAACCGAGUUACGGAUGGCCCCGGAGUUGAGGGACCCAGCGCAGGGGAGGACAGGGCGGUGCAGCCGGCGCGGCCCGAAACUGGCGCGGAGUCCUGGCUCCAGCGAGCUUCACAAAGCCAGAGAGGCCCGAUAAGUUCAAGGAAUGUGUCCUUCUCACUCCAGUCACCAAAUCUACCAGGAACCAUCCUCGAUGACCCUAAAUAGGAAUGGCAUGUGGACGGUGCAUGUAGCUCAGUUGGUUGGCGGGGAGUCUUGCCACUGGAAGCCCACAGUGGGGACAGGGAUCGAUCGAACUCGGGCCCUUGCGCUUUUGAGGCAGGCGGCAGAAUCUCUGAGCUAAAUCCCCAGCCCUCUAAGGUGAUUCUUAUCACCCCACCUGCUGGAAGAUAAGGACUGAAGUGUAUGGCAGGGAAGCAGUAUUUCUGGUUCAGGCUGCUGUAGAAGCUGCCUCUUUCUUUGCCAUAUGGAGCAGAGCACCCACUGAAUGAGGAGAAUACACUCAAGUCACAACUGUGCAUGGAUGUGACCUCACCUCUGCUGAACCCCUGGAGUUCUAGAAAUGACCCAAAUGCCCAUCAAUUGUUACAGCCUCAAUGGUCCUGUGACUCUGUGAUGCUCAAUGGCAGAAUUACACCAGCUGAAGACAUCUUGAGGAGGAACAAAAUCUUCAUCUGCAUAGUUCCUCACUGUUCUAGGAUUAUUGCUGCCCUGCCCUCUGAGUCAUCUGUUACAUUUGUUACUCCUGAUAUACUAAAUCUGCAGCCCUCUGAGUCAUCUGUUACUCCUGAUGUACCAAAUAAAGCUGUGCUAAGCUCAGGGUCUUUCUAUUCUUUUUUUUUUUUUUUGGUACCAGGGAUCAAACUCAGGACCUUGCACUUGUGAGGCAAGGAUGACACCACUGAGCUAAAUCCCCGGCCCAGCUUGGGGCCUUUCAUCUUUGCUGCCCAAUGGAGAAUUGAUCAGGCCCAAAGUUCAGCUUCUUCUCUAAGUCUCAUUUUCUGUCUUACUUCAUUAAUUCACCUUGUGCUGUCAUGGCUCACAGGAGACUAGGACUCACUGCAGGAAUUCUAGUAACAUCCCCUUUCCCUGUUCCCUACAAGGUGGGCAUGGUG